GACUCUGUGGCGCAACGGUAGCGCGUCUGAUUCCAGAUCAUAAGGCUGCGUGUUCAAAUCACGUCAGGGUCA
rnacentral:tRNA from 1 species